UAGGGAAUCUUCCACAAUGGACGCAAGUCUGAUGGAGCAACGCCGCGUGAGUGAAGAAGGUUUUCGGACCGUAAAGCUCUGUUGUUGGUGAAGAAGGAUAGAGGUAGUAACUGGCCUUUAUUUGACGGUAAUCAACCAGAAAGUCACGGCUAACUACGUGCCAGCAGCCGCGGUAAUACGUAGGUGGCAAGCGUUGUCCGGAUUUAUUGGGCGUAAAGCGAGCGCAGGCGGAAGAAUAAGUCUGAUGUGAAAGCCCUCGGCUUAACCGAGGAAUUGCAUCGGAAACUGUUUUCUUGAGUGCAGAAGAGGAGAGUAGAACUCCAUGUGUAGCGGUGGAAUGCGUAGAUAUAUGGAAGAAUACCAGUGGCGAAGGCGGCUCUCUGGUCUGCAACUGACGCUGAGGCUCGAAAGCAUGGGUAGCGAACAGGAUUAGAUACCCUGGUAGUCCAUGCCGUAAACGAUGAGUGCUAAGUGUUGGGAGGCUUCCGCCUCUCAGUGCUGCAGCUAGCGCAUUAAGCACUCCGCCUGGGGGAGUACGACCGCAAGGUUGAAAC
rnacentral:rRNA from 1 species